rnacentral:rRNA from 1 species
UACAGAGGAGGCAAGCGUUGUUCGGAAUCACUGGGCUUAAAGCGCGUGUAGGCGGCCUUGCAAGUACUUUGUGAAAGCCCCCGGCUCAACCGGGGAAUUGCUUGGUAUACUGCUGGGCUUGAGGCGGGUAGGGGUGCUUGGAACUCUAGGUGGAGCGGUGAAAUGCGUAGAUAUCUAGAGGAACGCCUGUGGCGAAAGCGGAGCACUGGGCCCGUCCUGACGCUAAGACGCGAAAGCGUAGGUAGCAAACGGG